rnacentral:lncRNA from 1 species
UGUGUUGGUGACGUGAUUUGUGGCUGAUUUUGUGUUGGUUGUGCUUGUCUUGACAAAAGGAACCUAGAUCUAAAAGAAAAAUUGAAUUCGGGGUUCAUUUGCCUAGUGGUCAAACCUUGGUCAACUCUUGAAUAUUCAUAUUUUUCUUCCUUAAUCUUCAUAUCUUGUUGGAGAAGAAUAUUCAAAAGUUCUUGUUUGAUCUUGAAAAGGGAGGAAAGAGAGUGUACUAGUUGUUCAAGGUAAUUUCCAAGAAGCUUCCUAGUCUUGCCAAAAGAAGAAAACAACAAAGACAAAAGGAAUCUUCAAGUACAAUUACAAGUACAAGGGGGGACCAAUUCAUUUCUAAUCCAUUUUGAAGCUUGAAAAUGCUUCAAACUUGAAUAUUUUUCCCUCCA